rnacentral:rRNA from 1 species
GUGAGGAAUAUUGGUCAAUGGGCGAGAGCCUGAACCAGCCAAGUCGCGUGAAGGAAGAAGGAUCUAUGGUUCGUAAACUUCUUUUGCAGGGGAAUAAAGUGCGGGACGUGUCCUGUUUUGUAUGUACCCUGAGAAUAAGGAUCGGCUAACUCCGUGCCAGCAGCCGCGGUAAUACGGAGGAUCCGAGCGUUAUCCGGAUUUAUUGGGUUUAAAGGGUGCGUAGGUGGUUUGAUAAGUCAGCGGUGAAAGUUUGCAGCUUAACUGUAAAAAUGCCGUUGGAACUGUCGGACUUGAGUGUAAAUGAGGUAGGCGGAAUGCGUGGUGUAGCGGUGAAAUGCAUAGAUAUCACGCAGAACUCCGAUUGCGAAGGCAGCUUACUAAGCUACAACUGACACUGAAGCACGAAAGCGUGGGGAUCAAACAGGAUUAGAUACCCCGGUAGUCC